rnacentral:rRNA from 1 species
UCAGAGGUGAAAUCUUGCAGCUCAACUGUAAAAUUGCCUUUGAAACUGGUUAUCUUGAGUUAUUAUGAAGUAGUUAGAAUAUGUAGUGUAGCGGUGAAAUGCAUAGAUAUUACAUAGAAUACCAAUUGCGAAGGCAGAUUACUAAUAAUCAACUGACACUGAUGGACGAAAGCGUGGGUAGCGAACAGGAUUAGAUACCCUGGUAGUCCACGCCGUAAACGAUGGUUACUAGCUGUUUGGACUUCGGUCUGAGUGGCUAAGCGAAAGUGAUAAGUAACCCACCUGGGGAGUACGUUCGCAAGAAUGAAACUCAAAGGAAUUGACGGGGGCCCGCACAAGCGGUGGAGCAUGUGGUUUAAUUCGAUGAUACGCGAGGAACCUUACCAAUCACUAGUGAAUUCGCGGCCGCCUGCAGGUCGACCAUAUGGGAGAGCUCCCAACGCGUUGGAUGCAUAGCUUGAGUAUUCUAUAGUGUCACCUAAAUAGCUUGGCGUAAUCAUGGUCAUAGGCUGUUU